UAUCUCUGUAGAGUCUGCAUAUCAAUAAGCGGAGGAAAAGAAACUAACAAGGAUUCCCUUAGUAACGGCGAGUGAAGCGGGAAGAGCUCAAAUUUGAAAUCUUCAAGGUUCUACCUUGACGAAUUGUAGUUUAAAGAAGUGUUUUCUGUUAGAUGAGUAGCAAAAGUUCCUUGGAAUGGGACAUCAUAGAGGGUGAGAAUCCCGUAUUUGGUUAUUCAUUCUAGCUUUGUGAUACACUUUCAAAGAGUCGGAUUGUUUGGGAAUGCAGUCCAAAAUGGGUGGUAAAUUUCAUCUAAAGCUAAAUAUUGGCGAGAGACCGAUAGCGAACAAGUACCGUGAGGGAAAGAUGAAAAGAACUUUGAAAAGAGAGUUAAACAGUACGUGAAAUUGUCAAAAGGGAAGCGUUUGACACCAGUGUUGUUUUUCCGAAAAUCAAUUACGAAUGGCCUGAUUUUGUGUUGUAUUGACCUUAUCAGCUUUCUGCACUUUUUUCGAGUCUUUCUUAAUGCACUUUUUGGUUAACAAGUCAACAUCAAUUUCUUUUGUUGUAAAAGAGUAUUCGGAAGGUGGCUUUCUUUUCGGAGAAAGUGUUUAUAGCCCUAUACUUCUACAAUCGGAGAGAUUGAGGUCUGCAGCGUAGAUCCUUCGGGGUUAGAUACACUUGUGCUAAGUUGUAGCUUUUCAUAGACAACUUGUUGACUAUGUUUAGUCAUGCGGCUUACUCGCUUGUGCUAUUUUACCUACGCUUAGGAUGUUGACUGAUAUGUAGUCGUA
rnacentral:rRNA from 1 species